rnacentral:rRNA from 1 species
UACGUAGGGGGCAAGCGUUGUCCGGAUUCACUGGGUGUGAAGGGCGCGCAGGCGGGUAUGCAAGUCAGUGGUGAAAUCCUACAGCUUAACUGUAGAACUGCCAUUGAGACUGCAUAUCUUGAGUACGGAAGAGAGAGACGGAAUUCCAGGUGUAGUGGUGAAAUACGUAGAUAUCUGGAAGAACACCAGUUGCGAAGGCGGUCUCUUGGUCCGAUACUGACGCUCAGGCGCGAAAGCGUGGGGAGCAAACAGG